GUAAUUUGGUCGACAUUUUGACAAUUAUAUUUAGCAAUAUUUCGAUAAAUGCGGACCUGCUUCUUCCUCUUUUCGUAGUGACGGUGUUUCGAUAACUCAGGUCAGUUUCACGGCAAAAAUAAGUUGUAGUUUUGAAAUUCGAAUGUGCAUUUAUUGAUGUAACGAUAAAGUACAUUUCCGAGAAUAAUUAGUGAAAGUUUCAGUAGGUGUCGAUUUUUGUAAAGUAGUGUAUAGGCGAUGGAUUGGCUCAGCCAUGUGCUCGUCGUGUCAGCGGGGCGCAAGCCGUCAUGGGGGAUGUAGGCUACACUACAAUGCACGUGAUUGAUGGUUGAACAUUCACUCUCGUUGACAGUGUAUUAUUGAAAUAUUUGAUUGUGAUGAUGGUGUAUUGUACUAGGCCUUGCAUGCUCCCAACGUGUGGCAUAUUUCACAUUGAUACUACCAGUAUCAAUUACAAAAAAAUAGAUUGUGAGUAACAAUAGGCCUACAAUACAAUCAAUGCUACAUGUCAUGAGGGUGGGAACGGGGAAGGGGGGGGGGGGUAACUGUCUCGACGUCCCGUUAGGAAAAAAGGCUUAUCCCGUUUCCCAAUAUGCAAUUUUAGCCGAAUCGUGACGCAAAACACGGCUUGUCUCGAAUCCCGCUAAAAUAAGGGUGUCUAUCCCGAAUCCCGACAGUUAUUUUCGGCCCAUCCCAGUGUCCCAAAAAUACCCGUUCUCCCCCUCAUAAAUAGUAGACCAUAUUGUCACAUUGAUGUUUUCUUUCAUUACAGUUAGACUUCGAGAUCUACAUUUUCGACAAAGGCCUGGUGUAUAAAUAUUACGUACUUGAUGAAGGUUUAAUGACACGAAUGAGUACAAGUACAUUACAUAUUUUCGACGAAGGCCUUCUGUAAUUUCAUACGCUUCUUACGUUAGACUUCGAGAUCUACAUUUUCGACAAAGGCCUGGUGUAAUAUUAUUACGUACUUGAUGAAGGUUUAAUGACACGAAUGAGUACAAGUACAUUACAUUUUUCGACGAAGGCCUUCUGUAAUUUCAUACGCUUCUUACGCAACAUUCAAUAGAUUUAUUUACUGUAUUAUCAUUUCGACCAAGGCGAAUUCGACACUUCAAUUACACAAGGUUAGUAACUUUUGUUCACAAAAUCCAAAUGGAGGCAAAUACAGAACAAUCAAACUUAGUCAUUCCAGUCAGUUACUGAAGCACAGUGAAAACUGUCGGGAGCAGUGCAACUGAUGGCAUGUCAAACUUCCAGUGACUGUCCCUGUCCAUAUAUUUCAAGACAGUACAAAUCUUGUAAUCAUUUUGUUUAUGCAAUGUACGUUAUUAUGUAUCAUUUCAGCACAAUCAAACUUAGUCAUUCCAGUCAGUUACUGAAGCACAGCGAAAACUGUCUGAAUUAGUGCUGCUGAUGGCAUGUAAUUACUCUACUACCACUACCUGUGACAGUCAAUGUCCAAAUAUUUUCAAGUGUGCGAAAUUAGUACUCGUCUACUUCUUAGUGUUAUUUGAAUGCAAUGUAUGUUAUAAAAAUAUUUUUUCAACACUAUAUCAACAUUCUCAUUCCUGUCAGUUUCUGAAAAUCAGCUAAAGCAAUCGCUACCAAUGCAGCUGAUAACCGCAAUUCUUUUUGUUCCCAAUGCCCAUCCAUGACAAUAUAUUUCACGCAUGUGACAAUCAUGUAAUCAUCCUGUUUUUUGUGUUCUAUUCAUGCAAUAAAUAAAUUCAGUAUUUUCAAAUCAUUGGUGCUACAAAACUAUUCUCAUUAUAGAUUAUUCAUAUUUUAUAAAAUGCUGUCAUGUCAAAUUUUGUGUCCUAUAAAUCAUAAUGAAGUCGGCAUUUUAUAUACAACUUUUGUACUCCUCCUAAAUAAACAUACAAAUCUUGUUUUAUGUAAACUUUGUAUAUGUGACCCGUCACAGCAAAACCAGGCGCAUGUCGCUCUGAGCUUGGCAGGUUGAGACGGACUGUUCUAAUCUUUCAUUAGCGACACCAUUUUUUACCAGAGUGCCUCCUUCAUUCAUACAUCUUGUACUUUAACUCAAGAUACCCAUCUUUGAAUAUUUUUAGUAUACCAAGUACUACAAUGUCAAUGUAUUGAAGUCAUGUUCUUGUAGUGUUAUUGGCUUUCUAUUAUCUUGUCAAAAUACCACUUGGUUCUCGCAAAAUCUCAAUAAAAACAAAUGCUAUUGCAUGUAUUGCAUAUUCUAACAGCUAUCCACUGUAUCGAUUUAUCCAUCAUCUGUACUAUUUGUCACAAAAAUGUUAUAUUAUGUAAAUCAUAUUUCAUUACAUAAUGCACACUGCCAAUUACUGCUGAACCAUUCAUAUGUCAUUUAAAUAAA